UACGUAGGGUGCUAGCGUUGUCCGGAUUUAUUGGGCGUAAAGGGCUCGUAGGCGGCGUGUCGCGUCGGGAGUGAAAGCCCGCUGCUUAACGGCGGGUUGGCUUCCGGUACGGGUAUCGCUGGAGUGCGGCAGGGGAGACUGGAAUUCCUGGUGUAGCGGUGGAAUGCGCAGAUAUCAGGAGGAACACCGGUGGCGAAGGCGGGUCUCUGGGCCGUUACUGACGCUGAGGAGCGAAAGCGUGGGGAGCGAACAGG
rnacentral:rRNA from 1 species